AUUUAUAUAAUUUAAAAGUAAAAUAUUAUAUUUUCAUUAUAAAAAUAAUAAAUUUAAUUAUUUAUAAAUU
rnacentral:tRNA from 1 species